rfam:Botryotinia fuckeliana BcDW1 unplaced genomic scaffold Scaffold_77, whole genome shotgun sequence.
UAAAAUGAUGAAUGGCACUGGGCUCCGACAGUUCCAAAAUGGUUCUGGUCUUGAUGGAUAUGCCAUUUUGCGGCAGGCCUAGAAAACCUCGCCCACUGAUU